AUGGCUGAUCCUUCCUUUCCUGUUUCAAGGGAGAACAGUGCUGAUGCAAGUAUUGCUUCCCAGACAGCAAUGCCUUGCUUUGAUUUCAACGGUCCAUACUUGUACAGCCCAGUGAUGUCCUCCCAGCCUGAUAUGCAUCAGGCCCUUCAAGCAGUCCCAGCGGGAAUCCAUGGGAAAUCGGUGUCCCUUCAGUACGUGACCCUCCCAAAGGAAGCCUGUCCCCAGGCUCCACAGAGGCAGGCCCAGCCAGGAGCACUUCCUCUGCAGCCCUUUCUGCUCCCAGACCAGAAGGAAAUGAUGCAGCACCUCAGCAAUGGGGAGGAAAUUUCACCAGCCCAACCAGCCUGUGGGAAAUGCAUGAAUGUGAGACCAGAAGGGCAGAAAUCUCCAGUGGCUCUUAGCUGUACCGGCUCUCCCCAGCAGUGCUCCUUGGGCUACAUCACCACAGAUAGCCUCUUACUGCCAUCAGUCAGAGACACCAGCCAUCUGGCACCCGUCACUGAUGGAGAGGUAGCUUCUGACUCGCAGGAGAUCCAGCCCCCUGAUGACUGCUCUUGCUAUGAGUUUUCUCCUGGGAAAUCUGGUGUCAUGGUUGCAGUUUCAGAUCAAACACCAAACCCUUCUCCUGAAUUGCACCUGGAUGCAUUUGGGGACUAUCUUACUGUCCCUCCAGGUCCCCAUGGACUUUCAGAAUCCACAAAUAUUUCCUUACCUGUCUUACAGAAGGGAAAGAAUCUUCCGAAAGAGCAGCCUUUGUCAGAGGGUAAUUUGGUGGUCUUAAACCCUGAUAGCACUGAGCCAGUUUUCCUUUGCGAGGUUGGUGACUAUUGCUUCCCCAGCCUAAAACCCAGUGAGAAGAUGUGUAUAAGCCAGGAAGAUCCCCAAGUCAAGAAACCUUCUGAAGGCAGGACAGCACCUGGGAAACCGGUAUCUGAUGAUGAAUCCAUCACUGGCAAAGAACAGAAUGUAUCAAAAAUGCAGGCUAUUCAUCUUUUCAAAAGCCUGAAAUCAGAUGAUUACUUUUCCUGGCAGCAAUCUUCAAGGAUCACAGAAAUCUGUUAA
rnacentral:lncRNA from 1 species